rnacentral:rRNA from 1 species
UACGUAGGUCCCGAGCGUUGUCCGGAUUUAUUGGGCGUAAAGCGAGCGCAGGUGGUUUAUUAAGUCUGGUGUAAAAGGCAGUGGCUCAACCAUUGUAUGCAUUGGAAACUGGUAGACUUGAGUGCAGGAGAGGAGGGUGGAAUUCCAUGUGUAGCGGUGAAAUGCGUAGAUAUAUGGAGGAACACCGGUGGCGAAAGCGGCUCUCUGGCCUGUAACUGACACUGAGGCACGAAAGCGUGGGGAGCAAAUAGG